rnacentral:rRNA from 1 species
CUACAGGCUUAACACAUGCAAGUCGAGGGGCAUCAGUUUGGUUUGCUUGCAAACCAAAGCUGGCGACCGGCGCACGGGUGAGUAACACGUAUCCAACCUGCCUCAUACUCGGGGAUAGCCUUUCGAAAGAAAGAUUAAUAUCCGAUAGCGUAUAUUUCCCGCAUGGGUUUUAUAUUAAAGAAAUUCGGUAUGAGAUGGGGAUGCGUUCCAUUAGUUUGUUGGGGGGGUAACGGCCCACCAAGACUACGAUGGAUAGGGGUUCUGAGAGGAAGGUCCCCCACAUUGGAACUGAGACACGGUCCAAACUCCUACGGGAGGCAGCAGUGAGGAAUAUUGGUCAAUGGACGCGAGUCUGAACCAGCCAAGUAGCGUGAAGGAUGACUGCCCUAUGGGUUGUAAACUUCUUUUAUAUGGGAAUAAAGUUGUCCACGUGUGGAUUUUUGUAUGUACCAUAUGAAUAAGGAUCGGCUAACUCCGUGCCAGCAGCCGCGGUAAUACGGAGGAUCCGAGCGUUAUCCGGAUUUAUUGGGUUUAAAGGGAGCGUAGGCGGAUUGUUAAGUCAGUUGUGAAAGUUUGCGGCUCAACCGUAAAAUUGCAGUUGAUACUGGCAGUCUUGAGUGCAGUAGAGGUGGGCGGAAUUCGUGGUGUAGCGGUGAAAUGCUUAGAUAUCACGAAGAACUCCGAUUGCGAAGGCAGCUCACUGGAGUGUAACUGACGCUGAUGCUCGAAAGUGUGGGUAUCAAACAGGAUUAGAUACCCUGGUAGUCCACACAGUAAACGAUGAAUACUCGCUGUUUGCGAUAUACAGUAAGCGGCCAAGCGAAAGCAUUAAGUAUUCCACCUGGGGAGUACGCCGGCAACGGUGAAACUCAAAGGAAUUGACGGGGGCCCGCACAAGCGGAGGAGCAUGUGGUUUAAUUCGAUGAUACGCGAGGAACCUUACCCGGGCUUAAAUUGCAAAUGAAUUAUGGGGAAACCCAUAGGCCGUAAGGCAUUUGUGAAGGUGCUGCAUGGUUGUCGUCAGCUCGUGCCGUGAGGUGUCGGCUUAAGUGCCAUAACGAGCGCAACCCUUAUCUUCAGUUACUAACAGGUCAUGCUGAGGACUCUGGAGAGACUGCCGUCGUAAGAUGUGAGGAAGGUGGGGAUGACGUCAAAUCAGCACGGCCCUUACGUCCGGGGCUACACACGUGUUACAAUGGGGGGUACAGAAGGCCGCUACCUGGUGACAGGAUGCCAAUCCCAAAAACCUCUCUCAGUUCGGAUCGAAGUCUGCAACCCGACUUCGUGAAGCUGGAUUCGCUAGUAAUCGCGCAUCAGCCAUGGCGCGGUGAAUACGUUCCCGGGCCUUGUACACACCGCCCGUCAAGCCAUGAAAGCCGGGGGUACCUGAAGUACGUAACCGCAAGGAGCGUCCUAGGGUAAAACUGGUAAUUGGGGCUAAGUCAUAACA